UGGGGGAUAUUGCACAAUGGGCGAAAGCCUGAUGCAGCGACGCCGCGUGGGGGAUGAAGGCCUUCGGGUUGUAAACUUCUUUUGCUCUGAACAAGGCAUGCUAAUGGGUGUGUUGAGUGUAGGGGUUGAUUAGCGCCGGCUAACUACGUGCCAGCAGCCGCGGUAAUACGUAGGGCGCGAGCGUUGUCCGGAAUUAUUGGGCGUAAAGGGCUUGUAGGUGGCUGGUUGCGUCUGUCGUGAAAGCUCAUGGCUUAACUGUGGGUUUGCGGUGGGUACGGGCUGGCUUGAGUGCAGUAGGGGAGGCUGGAAUUCCUGGUGUAGCGGUGGAAUACGCAGAUAUCAGGAGGAAUACCGGUGGCGAAGGCGGGUCUCUGGGCUGUUACUGACACUGAGGAGCGAAAGCAUGGGGAGCGAACAGG
rnacentral:rRNA from 1 species